rnacentral:sRNA from 1 species
UUGAUUGAUUACAAGAUUUAUUUAUUUAUUUGUUCAUGAUUCCUUCUAUGCUUAGUCGAUAUAGGUGUUGCAUACUCGACACGUGGUAAUGUUCGUCCUCCCACUUGUGCUUGGUUUCACUUACAUCACCGAUUCCACAGUCCAUGAAAAGGUGUCUACAAUCACGUCUUUAAAAACACGUCGUCGUCUUUUGUUUAUUGCGGAAAAACAAACCUUAUAAAUCAUGAACCUGAAAGGACAGGGUAGUAGUAUACAGUACAUUAUACAAUAGUACAAAAUAUCUCUCUUGUCAGAAAUAAAUAAAAAUAAAUUACUCGUUCCACAUGUAUAUAUAAAUGAGAAUCCUUAAAGAGAAGGUUUCGUAAGAUCAGGAGUUUUGGUAAUGGAGUAAAAAAUUAGUCUUUUGGCCUCAUAAAACUAGUAUAAGAGUAAUUAAGUAUUACCAAAAUAAAACAAGAAAGUAUUUAGAAAUGUACGUAUUGUCUUCUGUAUCGUUUUUUAUCAC